rnacentral:rRNA from 1 species
GAUGAACGCUAGCGGCAGGCCUAACACAUGCAAGUCGAGGGGCAGCACGAGUAGCAAUACUUGGUGGCGACCGGCGCACGGGUGCGUAACGCGUAUGCAACCUACCCGUAAACUGGGGGGAUAAUCCGGAGAAAUUUGGUCUAAUACCCCAUAAUACACUGAAUGGCAUCAUUUGGUGUUGAAAAUUCCGAUGGUUACGGAUGGGCAUGCGUUGUAUUAGCUAGUUGGUGAGGUAACGGCUCACCAGGCUACGAUACAUAGGGGAACUGAGAGGUUAAUCCCCCANACUGGUACUGAGACACGGACCAGACUCCUACGGGAGCAGCAGUGAGGAA